rnacentral:lncRNA from 1 species
CCAAUGUGUACCAGACCAGUAGGCAGAGGAGGUUGUUUCUAAAAAGCCAGCAAGGAUGCUGACAGCUGACUUCACAGUAGGGAAAGAAUAUUUUGCUGUGUCACCUGGGUGAAAUUGCUCUCUGCUUUUCUUAAGUGUGAAAAACUGGUGGGAGGAUGCAUCCAUACCAAUGGGAGCUGCAUGGGUUGUAGGAGACUCUGCAGAAGUUACAGCAGGGAGCAGAGAUACUCUGUGCUGUCUUUAUGGCAGCAUUAAAAGGGUAGGGUGUAGGAUGCCUCCUUUGCUGGUUACUGCUCCUUCAGAUUUGAAGACAAAUGCAUCACACAGUAGUGGAAGGGAGCCCCAGACAGGUACUGCCAUAUUCCUUAUUGCCAAGUCU